AUGCAAGUCGAGCGGUAGCACAGAGAGCUUGCUCUCGGGUGACGAGCGGCGGACGGGUGAGUAAUGUCUGGGAAACUGCCUGAUGGAGGGGGAUAACUACUGGAAACGGUAGCUAAUACCGCAUAACGUCGCAAGACCAAAGAGGGGGACCUUCGGGCCUCUUGCCAUCAGAUGUGCCCAGAUGGGAUUAGCUAGUAGGUGGGGUAACGGCUCACCUAGGCGACGAUCCCUAGCUGGUCUGAGAGGAUGACCAGCCACACUGGAACUGAGACACGGUCCAGACUCCUACGGGAGGCAGCAGUGGGGAAUAUUGCACAAUGGGCGCAAGCCUGAUGCAGCCAUGCCGCGUGUAUGAAGAAGGCCUUCGGGUUGUAAAGUACUUUCAGCGGGGAGGAAGGUGUUGAGGUUAAUAACCUCAGCAAUUGACGUUACCCGCAGAAGAAGCACCGGCUAACUCCGUGCCAGCAGCCGCGGUAAUACGGAGGGUGCAAGCGUUAAUCGGAAUUACUGGGCGUAAAGCGCACGCAGGCGGUCUGUCAAGUCGGAUGUGAAAUCCCCGGGCUCAACCUGGGAACUGCAUUCGAAACUGGCAGGCUAGAGUCUUGUAGAGGGGGGUAGAAUUCCAGGUGUAGCGGUGAAAUGCGUAGAGAUCUGGAGGAAUACCGGUGGCGAAGGCGGCCCCCUGGACAAAGACUGACGCUCAGGUGCGAAAGCGUGGGGAGCAAACAGGAUUAGAUACCCUGGUAGUCCACGCCGUAAACGAUGUCGACUUGGAGGUUGUGCCCUUGAGGCGUGGCUUCCGGAGCUAACGCGUUAAGUCGACCGCCUGGGGAGUACGGCCGCAAGGUUAAAACUCAAAUGAAUUGACGGGGGCCCGCACAAGCGGUGGAGCAUGUGGUUUAAUUCGAUGCAACGCGAAGAACCUUACCUACUCUUGACAUCCAGAGAACUUUCCAGAGAUGGAUUGGUGCCUUCGGGAACUCUGAGACAGGUGCUGCAUGGCUGUCGUCAGCUCGUGUUGUGAAAUGUUGGGUUAAGUCCCGCAACGAGCGCAACCCUUAUCCUUUGUUGCCAGCGGUCCGGCCGGGAACUCAAAGGAGACUGCCAGUGAUAAACUGGAGGAAGGUGGGGAUGACGUCAAGUCAUCAUGGCCCUUACGAGUAGGGCUACACACGUGCUACAAUGGCGCAUACAAAGAGAAGCGACCUCGCGAGAGCAAGCGGACCUCAUAAAGUGCGUCGUAGUCCGGAUUGGAGUCUGCAACUCGACUCCAUGAAGUCGGAAUCGCUAGUAAUCGUAGAUCAGAAUGCUACGGUGAAUACGUUCCCGGGCCUUGUACACACCGCCCGUCACACCAUGGGAGUGGGUUGCAAAAGAAGUAGGUAGCUUAACCUUCGGGAGGGCGCUU
rnacentral:rRNA from 2 species